rnacentral:rRNA from 1 species
CGUAGGGGGCGAGCGUUGUCCGGAAUCAUUGGGCGUAAAGAGCUCGUAGGCGGCUCAGUAAGUCGGGUGUGAAACCCUCAGGCUCAACCUGGGGACGCCACCCGAUACUGCUGUGGCUAGAGUCCAGUAGGGGAGUGUGGAAUUCCCGGUGUAGCGGUGAAAUGCGCAGAUAUCGGGAGGAACACCAGCGGCGAAGGCGGCACUCUGGGCUGGAACUGACGCUGAGGAGCGAAAGCGUGGGUAGCAAACAGGAUUAGAUACCCUGGUAGUCCACGCCGUAAACGUUGGGCACUAGGUGUGGGGACCCUCCAACGGUUUCCGUGCCGUAGCUAACGCAUUAAGUGCCCCGCCUGGGGAGUACGGCCGCAAGGCUA